rnacentral:rRNA from 1 species
GUAAACGGCUGCAUAAAUCUGAGUGUACUAAGGUAGCGCUAUAAUUUGCCCUUCAAAUGGGGGCUGGUAUGAACGGGUUCACGUGAGAGUUGCUGUGUCAUAAAAAUUUUUUGAAAUUAACUUUUAGGUGAAGAGGCCUAAUUAAGAUUGUAGGACGACAAGACCCUAGAAGCUUUACUGAGGGUGAGUUACAGGUUAAUUUAUUUCGGUUUUGUUGGGGCAACAUAGUUAGAAAGUAUAACUUGUUUUUAUAAACUUACAAGUUAAAACCACAUCGGUGAAUAAGAUAAGUUACUCUAGGGAUAACAGCGUUAUUUUUUUUAAUAGUUCGUAUUGUAAAAAAAGUUUGCGACCUCGAUGUUGGACUAAGGUGUCCUUAAGGCGCAGAAGUCUUAAAGGGUUGGCCUGUUCGUCCAUUAAAACCUUACA